rnacentral:rRNA from 1 species
AUAUGCGGUUCACAGCAGGCAUCUAACGUGAACGAAAUGUGAAGGAGAAGGAUGGGGAUGCGUCUGAUUAGCUUGUUGGCGGGGUAACGGCCCACCAAGGCGACGAUCAGUAGGGGUUCUGAGAGGAAGGUCCCCCACAUUGGAACUGAGACACGGUCCAAACUCCUACGGGAGGCAGCAGUGAGGAAUAUUGGUCAAUGGACGAGAGUCUGAACCAGCCAAGUAGCGUGCAGGAUGACGGCCCUAUGGGUUGUAAACUGCUUUUAUAGGGGGAUAAAGUGUGUCACGUGUGGCAUAUUGCAGGUACCCUAUGAAUAAGGACCGGCUAAUUCCGUGCCAGCAGCCGCGGUAAUACGGAAGGUCCAGGCGUUAUCCGGAUUUAUUGGGUUUAAAGGGAGCGUAGGCCGUUUGGUAAGCGUGUUGUGAAAUGUCGGGGCUCAACCUGGGCAUUGCAGCGCGAACUGCCAGACUUGAGUGCGCAGGAAGUAGGCGGAAUUCGUCGUGUAGCGGUGAAAUGCUUAGAUAUGACGAAGAACUCCGAUUGCGAAGGCAGCCUGCUGUAGCGCAACUGACGCUGAAGCUCGAAAGCGUGGGUAUCGAACAGGAUUAGAUACCCUGGUAGUCCACGCGGUAAACGAUGGAUGCUCGCUGUUUGCGUCUGACGUAAGCGGCCAAGCGAAAGCGUUAAGCAUCCCACCUGGGGAGUAC